AACAGGAUUAGAUACCCUGGUAGUCCACGCUGUAAACGAUGUCGAUUUGGAGGUUGUGCCCUUGAGGCGUGGCUUCCGGAGCUAACGCGUUAAAUCGACCGCCUGGGGAGUACGGCCGCAAGGUUAAAACUCAAAUGAAUUGACGGGGGCCCGCACAAGCGGUGGAGCAUGUGGUUUAAUUCGAUGCAACGCGAAGAACCUUACCUACUCUUGACAUCCAGAGAACAUAGCAGAGAUGCUUUGGUGCCUUCGGGAACUCUGAGACAGGUGCUGCAUGGCUGUCGUCAGCUCGUGUUGUGAAAUGUUGGGUUAAGUCCCGCAACGAGCGCAACCCUUAUCCUUUGUUGCCAGCGGUUCGGCCGGGAACUCAAAGGAGACUGCCAGUGAUAAACUGGAGGAAGGUGGGGAUGACGUCAAGUCAUCAUGGCCCUUACGAGUAGGGCUACACACGUGCUACAAUGGCGUAUACAAAGAGAAGCGACCUCGCGAGAGCAAGCGGACCUCAUAAAGUACGUCGUAGUCCGGAUUGGAGUCUGCAACUCGACUCCAUGAAGUCGGAAUCGCUAGUAAUCGUAGAUCAGAAUGCUAC
rnacentral:rRNA from 1 species